GCGGAACGAGUUAUCUGAACCUUCGGGGAACGAUAACGGCGUCGAGCGGCGGACGGGUGAGUAAUGCCUGGGAAAUUGCCCUGAUGUGGGGGAUAACCAUUGGAAACGAUGGCUAAUACCGCAUAAUAGCUUCGGCUCAAAGAGGGGGACCUUCGGGCCUCUCGCGUCAGGAUAUGCCCAGGUGGGAUUAGCUAGUUGGUGAGGUAAGGGCUCACCAAGGCGACGAUCCCUAGCUGGUCUGAGAGGAUGAUCAGCCACACUGGAACUGAGACACGGUCCAGACUCCUACGGGAGGCAGCAGUGGGGAAUAUUGCACAAUGGGCGCAAGCCUGAUGCAGCCAUGCCGCGUGUAUGAAGAAGGCCUUCGGGUUGUAAAGUACUUUCAGCAGUGAGGAAGGUGGAUGCGUUAAUAGCGUAUUCAUUUGACGUUAGCUGCAGAAGAAGCACCGGCUAACUCCGUGCCAGCAGCCGCGGUAAUACGGAGGGUGCGAGCGUUAAUCGGAAUUACUGGGCGUAAAGCGCAUGCAGGUGGUUUGUUAAGUCAGAUGUGAAAGCCCGGGGCUCAACCUCGGAAUUGCAUUUGAAACUGGCAGACUAGAGUACUGUAGAGGGGGGUAGAAUUUCAGGUGUAGCGGUGAAAUGCGUAGAGAUCUGAAGGAAUACCGGUGGCGAAGGCGGCCCCCUGGACAGAUAC
rnacentral:rRNA from 1 species